CGUUGGUCAAGCGGUUAAGACACCGCCCUUUCACGGCGGCAACACGGGUUCGAAUCCCGUACGGGUCA
rnacentral:tRNA from 1 species